CCAGAGAACUUAGCAGAGAUGCUUUGGUGCCUUCGGGAACUCUGAGACAGGUGCUGCAUGGCUGUCGUCAGCUCGUGUCGUGAAAUGUUGGGUUAAGUCCCGCAACGAGCGCAACCCUUAUCCUUUGUUGCCAGCGGUUCGGCCGGGAACUCAAAGGAGACUGCCGGUGAUAAACCGGAGGAAGGUGGGGAUGACGUCAAGUCAUCAUGGCCCUUACGGCCAGGGCUACACACGUGCUACAAUGGCGCAUACAAAGAGAAGCGACCUCGCGAGAGCAAGCGGACCUCAUAAAGUGCGUCGUAGUCCGGAUUGGAGUCUGCAACUCGACUCCAUGAAGUCGGAAUCGCUAGUAAUCGUAGAUCAGAAUGCUACGGUGAAUACGUUCCCGGGCCUUGUACACACCGCCCGUCACACCAUGGGAGUGGGUUGCAAAAGAAGUAGGUAGCUUAACCUUCGGGAGGGCGCUUAUCACUUUGUGAUUCAUGACUGGGGUGAAGUCGUAACAAGGUAAGCGUAGCGAG
rnacentral:rRNA from 1 species